UGAAUGGCUUGACGAAGAAUCAACUGUCUCUUAAUAAUUUUUAAAAUUUAACUUUUGAGUCAAAAGGCUUAAAUUUUUCUUUAGGACGAGAAGACCCUAUAGAGCUUAACAUUUUAUUUUUAUAUAGUUUUUAGUUGAUCUUUCUAUAUUUAAUGAUAAUGUUUUGUUGGGGUGACAUGAAGAAUAAUUAAACUCUUCAUUAUAAAAUCAUUGAUUUAUGUUUAUCAUGAUCCAUAAUUUAUGAUCAUAAGAUUAAGUUACCUUAGGGAUAACAGCGUAAUUGUUUUCGAGAGCUCAUAUCGACAAAGCAGAUUGCGACC
rnacentral:rRNA from 1 species